rnacentral:rRNA from 1 species
AGCAGCCGCGGUAAUUCCAGCUCCAAUAGCGUAUAUUAAAGUUGUUGCAGUUAAAAAGCUCGUAGUUGAAUUUCGGGAUCAGUUGGUCGGUCGUGCCUCGGUACGUACUGGUCAAAUUGAUUCCUACCUUCUGACGAACCACGAUGUCAUUAAUUUGGUGUCGUGGGAAAUCAGGACUGUUACUUUGAAAAAAUUAGAGUGUUUAAAGCAGGCUCGCGCUUGAAUACAUUAGCAUGGAAUAAUGAAAUAGGACGUUUGAUUCUAUUUUGUGGUUUCUAGGAUCGACGUAAUGAUUAAUAGGGAUAGUUGGGGGCAUUAGUAUUCAAUUGUCAGAGGUGAAAUUCUUGGAUUUAUUGAAGACUAACUACUGCGAAAGCAUUUGCCA